rnacentral:lncRNA from 1 species
UUGGAUCCCAUUGAUCCAACAUAUUGGAACUACGGUCUCUUUAAUAUUUAAGUGUCCGAAAACCAGACCCCCCCUACCCCCUCUUCCAACCCCCCUCAGUUCCCUUCGUCUCCUUUAACAACAAGCCCUAUAGUCGCCGCUCUGAAGCCCACCAUUAUUUCUGGUAGCGGCGUAGUCCUAAACAACCCCAAUCUGUACCAAAGUACACCCUAGAAUCCCCUUCAUCUCCUUAUCUCAAAUCCCCAACUCGCUUCCCUCAAAUCAUCGUCAAGCUUCUCAAAUAUUAAAUCAACGCUUAACCCUAAAAUUCCAAGUUUUCUAAUUUGAGAAUUCUUUUUGAAGCUUUUAGGUUUAUUAUGAUUUUAUUCGUGUGUUUUCAUGAAAGCACAUGAUUAAUCACAUAUUGAGCCAAAAAUUUGAAGGUUUGCAGAUUCAUCAUUACAUUUAUUGUCCGAGGCACUUUUAGGUAUUCUCCUUUUUCUUUUGUUUUAUUUUCUUUAAUUUUUCUUUCUUUCUCUAUUUUUCUGCUUCUUCUCAUCUUCUUGAUUACUUUUUAUUUUUUUCGAAGUCAUUUUUUCAUGUAUGAGUAGUUCUGAAUUCAUUUCUUAGUUAGUGUAGUUAGUUCAUAAGUCAGAUUAGUUUAGAUUUUGUCAGCUUGGUUAAUUUUAGUUAGUAUGUCAUUUUAGUCUAAAUUUUUAAUUGUCAAAAUAAUUUCAACAUGUGUGUUACUUUAUGCUUACCAUUUGUUAAUUGGGAAACUAUGUUGUUUGGGCUUGGGUCUAGCUAUGACCCAUUUGUGCAAGAGUAGCCCGUUCAUUUUGGGGUUUAAGUGGAUAGGAAUUGACUCAUUAUUUUGUCAGUAGGGUAAUAACAUGGGUUUUAAUGGGUAAUCUGGGUAACUAAAUAAGGGAAUCUUAUGUAACUAAUUGAGGAAGCUUCUAAGAAGCUGGGGAGGGGGUCGUUUUGAAUUUUUAGUUUUUUAACUAAGGGUAUCUGAGCUAUAAUGAAAAUUUCAAAAGGGGCAAAAUGCAAAGACUGAUAUCUUUAAGCUUCCCUAGUGUCUACUUAUAAAGGCAUCACGAUUUGCUAUUAAAGUCAGAAUUUUAAGAGAGAAAAAUCAAAAAAAAAAAAAACUUAAAUGGCUACACUCUGAUUUCUCUACACUUUUCUAGUUGAACAUUGCUAAAUUUUUUGCUAGUUUUAGUUUCCUGAUCCUCAUUACUUAAGGUCUUGUAUUUGGGUUGAAUUGGAUAGAGUUCGGAUCUUUAAAGUUGAGCUGAAGUUAUGUUGUUGGCUAUUACUGUUUGAUUGAAGUGGGUCUUUAGUCUGCUAUGCACAUUUUGGCUCUAAGUUGAUUUUUGCUGGCUAUUUUCCUGUUGAUGGGGUUCAACUCUACUGCUGCUGGACUAUUGAUUUCACACUUCUAUGUUUAUUUCAUUUUUCAGGUAUUUCUAUAAACUAUGGAUAGCAAAUGAUUGUAUCAAUGCAUUAUUUAGUGGAAACUUGAUGGAAUACGAAAUUACUUAAAGAUGUGAUGUUUUUUUUUGUUUUUUCUUCUAUUUUCAGUAAUACAUUUGUAAUAGUUUACAGUUAUGCAUGUUAUUUUUAGUCUUCACAUGGCUUAAGUAUGCUAUAAUGGAAAAUUACUGCCAUUGAAUUGAGGGUGACUGUUUUGUUUCAACAUAAGUAUAACGCUCAAGAGUCGAACAUGAGUACUAUUCUUAGUAAAUUUGUAACCACUUGCUUGUUUUUUGAGUGUUGGUUUCGUUUUCUGUAUAAAUGCGAUAUAGUAUUUAGAUGUACAGAUUUUAUUGGCUUGGGC